AACGAACGCUGGCGGCAUGCCUCAUACAUGCAAGUCGAACGCUCUGCAGGCUUCGGUCUGUGGGGAGUGGCGCACGGGUGAGUAGCGCGUGGGAACCUGCCCAACAGUGGGGGAUAACCGAUGGAAACGUCGGCUAAUACCGCAUGUGCCCCGGGGCAACUUGGGGGAAAGAUUUAUCGCUGUUGGAGGGGCCCGCGUCGGAUUAGCUAGUUGGUGGGGUAACGGCCUACCAAGGCAAUGAUCCGUAGCUGGUCUGAGAGGAUGAUCAGCCACACUG
rnacentral:rRNA from 1 species